UAACACUGAGGCGUGAUAACGAGGCACUACGGUGCUGAAGUGGUUGAUGCCCUGCUUCCAGGAAAAGCCUCUAAGCAUCAGGUCACAUUGGAUCGUACCCCAAACCGACACAGGUGGUCAGGUAGAGAAUACUCAGGCGCUUGAGAGAACUCGGGUGAAGGAACUAGGCAAAAUGGUGCCGUAACUUCGGGAGAAGGCACGCUGGCGCCAGGUGAAGGAACGAGCUUCCGGAGCCGAGGCCAGUCGCAGAUACCAGCUGGCUGCAACUGUUUAAUAAAAACACAGCACUGUGCAAACACGCAAGUGGACGUAUACGGUGUGACGCCUGCCCGGUGCUGGAAGGUUAAUUGAUGGGGUUAUCGCGUUGCGAGAAGCUCUUGAUCGAAGCCCCAGUAAACGGCGGCCGUAACUAUAACGGUCCUAAGGUAGCGAAAUUCCUUGUCGGGUAAGUUCCGACCUGCACGAAUGGCGUAAUGAUGGCCAGGCUGUCUCCACCCGAGACUCAGUGAAAUUGAACUCGCUGUGAAGAUGCAGUGUACCCGCGGCAAGACGGAAAGACCCCGUGAACCUUUACUAUAGCUUGACACUGAACCUUGAGCCUUGAUGUGUAGGAUAGGUGGGAGGCCUGGAAGUGCGGACGCCAGUCUGCACGGAGCCAACCUUGAAAUACCACCCUUGAAUGUUUGAUGUUCUAACGCAGGCCCGUGAUCCGGGUUGCGGACAGUGUCUGGUGGGUAGUUUGACUGGGGCGGUCUCCUCCCAAAGCGUAACGGAGGAGCACGAAGGUUAGCUAAUCACGGUCGGACAUCGUGAGGUUAGUGCAAUGGCAUAAGCUGGCUUGACUGCGAGAGUGACAGCUCGAGCAGGUGCGAAAGCAGGUCAUAGUGAUCCGGUGGUUCUGCAUGGAAGGGCCAUCGCUCAACGGAUAAAAGGUACUCCGGGGAUAACAGGCUGAUACCGCCCAAGAGUUCAUAUCGACGGCGGUGUUUGGCACCUCGAUGUCGGCUCAUCACAUCCUGGGGCUGAAGCAGGUCCCAAGGGUACGGCUGUUCGCCGUUUAAAGUGGUACGCGAGCUGGGUUUAGAACGUCGUGAGACAGUUCGGUCCCUAUCUGCCGUGGGCGCUGGAAGAUUGAAAGGGGCUGCUCCUAGUACGAGAGGACCGGAGUGGACGCACCACUGGUGUUCGGGUUGUCAUGCCAAUGGCACUGCCCGGUAGCUACGUGCGGAAGAGAUAACCGCUGAAAGCAUCUAAGCGGGAAACUUGCCUUGAGAUGAGUCUUCCCUUGUCCUUUAAGGACACUGAAGGAACGUUCGAGACGAGGACGUGGAUAGGCCGGGUGUGUAAGCGUAGCGAUACGUUGAGCUGACCGGUACUAAUGAACCGUGCGGCUUAACCU
rnacentral:rRNA from 1 species